rnacentral:tmRNA from 1 species
GGGCUUGAGUAGACGGGCCUGCGACCCUAUGUUGACGAUGUCCUUCGGGACUAUGGACAUAAACGCGCUCGUAAUACGCGGAUCGGACCCGGGGGCGGUACCCGGCGGCUCCACCAAAAACCCUUCGUUGGGGGCAACUGGGGCCGAAACAGGAUCGACGAACGUCUAAAGGGGAUGUCUUUGUCUCGGUGAGGUACCACCGUUAUCGGUCCGAAAUGUACAGUUGCCAACGACAACCGUGCUCCGGCAAUGGCUCUGGCUGCGUAAGCAGUCCGGGUUCGCCGAACCUAAGUCCUAGGGGUUAGCCCCUCUAGGCGGGGUCCGCAGGCACCUGGCAACAGAAGCCUGCACU